UCCCUAGUGGCUCAGACGGUAAAGCGUCUGCCUACAAUGCAGGAGACCUAGGUUCAAUCCCUGGGUCAGGAA
rnacentral:tRNA from 1 species